rnacentral:rRNA from 1 species
UGGGGAAUAUUGCACAAUGGGCGCAAGCCUGAUGCAGCCAUGCCGCGUGUGUGAAGAAGGCCUUCGGGUUGUAAAGCACUUUCAGCGGGGAGGAAGGCGGUGAGGUUAAUAACCUCACCGAUUAACGUUACCCGCAGAAGAAGCACCGGCUAACUCCGUGCCAGCAGCCGCGGUAAUACGGAGGGUGCAAGCGUUAAUCGGAAUUACUGGGCGUAAAGCGCACGCAGGCGGUCUGUCAAGUCGGAUGUGAAAUCCCCGGGCUCAACCUGGGAACUGCAUUCGAAACUGGCAGGCUAGAGUCUUGUAGAGGGGGGUAGAAUUCCAGGUGUAGCGGUGAAAUGCGUAGAGAUCUGGAGGAAUACCGGUGGCGAAGGCGGCCCCCUGGACAAAGACUGACGCUCAGGUGCGAAAGCGUGGGGAGCAAACAGGA